rnacentral:rRNA from 1 species
CUUGAACGCUGGCGGCAGGCCUAACACAUGCAAGUCGAACGAGUGGCGGACGGGUGAGUAAUGUCUGGGAAACUGCCUGAUGGAGGGGGAUAACUACUGGAAACGGUAGCUAAUACCGCAUACCAUCGGAUGUGCCCAGAUGGGAUUAGCUAGUAGGUGGGGUAAAGGCUCAACUCGGCGACGAUCCCUAGCUGGUCUGAGAGGCUGACCAGCCACACUGGAACUGGUACACGGUCCAGACUCCUACGGGAGGCAGCAGUGAGGAAUAAUGCACAAUGGGCGCAAGCCUGAUGCAGCCAGGCCGCGUGUAUGAAGAAGGCCUUCGGGUUGUAAAGUACUUUCAGCGGGGAGGCGUUACCCGCAGAAGAAGCACCGGCUAACUCCGUGCCAGCCGCGGCGGGAAUUC